GAAUCCGGUUGAUCCUGCCGGACCUGACUGCUAUCGGAUUGAUACUAAGCCAUGCGAGUUUUUGCAGUAAUGCAAAGCAUACGGCUCAGUAACACGUAGUCAACUUACCCUAUGGACGAGGAUAAUCUCGGGAAACUGAGCAUAAUACUCGAUAGAUCAUAAUGCCUGGAAUGGUUUAUGGUUGAAAUGAUUCGUCGCCGUAGGAUGGGACUGCGGCCUAUCAGCUUGUUGGUGAGGUAAUGGCCCACCAAGGCGAUUACAGGUACGGGCUCUGAGAGGAGAAGCCCGGAGAUGGGUACUGAGACAAGGACCCAGGCCCUAUGGGGCGCAGCAGGCGAGAAAACUUUGCAAUGUGCGAAAGC
rnacentral:rRNA from 1 species